GACGAACGCUGGCGGCGUGCUUAACACAUGCAAGUCGAACGGAAAGGCCCUGCUUUUGUGGGGUGCUCGAGUGGCGAACGGGUGAGUAACACGUGGGUAACCUGCCCUUGACUUUGGGAUAACUUCAGGAAACUGGGGCUAAUACCGGAUAGGAGCUCCUGCUGCAUGGUGGGGGUUGGAAAGUUUCGGCGGUUGGGGAUGGACUCGCGGCUUAUCAGCUUGUUGGUGGGGUAGUGGCUUACCAAGGCUUUGACGGGUAGCCGGCCUGAGAGGGUGACCGGCCACAUUGGGACUGAGAUACGGACCAGACUCCUACGGGAGGCAGCAGUGGGGAAUAUUGCACAAUGGGCGGAAGCCUGAUGCAGCAACGCCGCGUGCGGGAUGACGGCCUUCGGGUUGUAAACCGCUUUCGCCUGUGACGAAGCGUGAGUGACGGUAAUGGGUAAAGAAGCACCGGCUAACUACGUG
rnacentral:rRNA from 1 species